CAGCAGUCGCCGCGGUAAUACCGAGGGUGCGAGCGUUAAUCGGAUUUACUGGGCGUAAAGCGUGCGUAGGCGGCUAAUUGAGUCGGAUGUGAAAUCCCCGAGCUUAACUUGGGAAUUGCAUUCGAUACUGGUUAGCUAGAGUGUGGGAGAGGAUGGUAGAAUUCCAGGUGUAGCGGUGAAAUGCGUAGAGAUCUGGAGGAAUACCGAUGGCGAAGGCAGCCAUCUGGCCUAAUACUGACGCUGAGGUACGAAAGCAUGGGGAGCAAACAGGAUUAGAUACCCGGGUAGUCCCUGUCUCUUAUAC
rnacentral:rRNA from 1 species